GCCUGGGUGGCUCAGUCAGUUGAGCGUCCGACUUCAGCUCAGGUCAUGAUCUCGCGGUGAGUUCGAGCCUCACGUCAGGUU
rnacentral:tRNA from 1 species